CCGCAGUCAACUACCUUUGGCUAUUCAGCUGGAUUCAGCUGCACGGUCAGUUGCAUUACAUACCCAGCAAACACUACACAGCCCCAAGAGCGAUGAAGCUACCCAAGUGCGUGUACGACAUGGCCCUAACUCGUAAAUCCACCAUGCAUCGCUCGCAAUGAACAUUUCAAACCAGCGGCCUAUACCAACUAUCCCACUACUCCAGAUGUCACGCUCCUGCUUCUCGCAUGACCCGCCAAGGCCGUGCGAUCAAUCAGUGCAACGGGUCAAGACAUGCUUCCAUCCGCUGGGCUCACGUUCACACUCCGCGCGGGACACCGAGCAAGCGGCAAGCCAGCUUCGUCGAACAGCCCGAGUUAUCAACUGCUGCUGCUGCUGAGCACGCGCCAGA
rnacentral:lncRNA from 1 species